UCGAAUUCUUGUCGGCCCGGUCGCCCGGACGUUUUGCUCUUCGACUUGUACGGAAUGGAUCGAUCCCGGAAGGCCCCCGCCGAAUAUUUCGAACACCUUCACCUCGUCAACUGGAUGGUCAGUUCCUGCAGUCGAUUAAUCCU
rnacentral:ncRNA from 1 species